rnacentral:rRNA from 1 species
AGAGUUUGAUCCUGGCUCAGAUUGAACGCUGGCGGCAUGCCUUACACAUGCAAGUCGAACGGUAACGGGUUAAGCUGACGAGUGGCGAACGGGUGAGUAAUGUAUCGGAACGUGCCCAGUCUGGGGGAUAACUGCUCGAAAGAGCAGCUAAUACCGCAUACGACCUGAGGGUGAAAGUGGGGGGAUCUUCGGACCUCAUGCUCAUGGAGUGGCCGAUAUCUGAUUAGCUAGUUGGUGAGGUAAAGGCUCACCAAGGCGACGAUCAGUAGCUGGUUUGAGAGAACGACCAGCCACACUGGAACUGAGACACGGUCCAGACUCCUACGGGAGGCAGCAGUGGGAAUUUUGGACAAUGGGGCAACCCUGAUCCAGCAAUGCCGCGUGAGUGAAGAAGGCCUUCGGGUUGUAAAGCUCUUUUGUCAGGGAAGAAACGGAGAGUUCUAAUAAAGCUUGCUAAUGACGGUACCUGAAGAAUAAGCACCGGCUAACUACGUG